rnacentral:tRNA from 1 species
UUAAAGAUAAGUUAAAUUAAACUAUUGGAUUCAUACUCCAACCAUAGGGAUACAUCACCUUCUUUAAA